GUCUUGAUACUGAACCUCAUGAAGUGUCCUUGCUCACGUGGCUAGCCUGAUUCCAGGGGUUAGGGUUUAGCCGGGAGGUACCCCUCAAAGCUCAGGUGAGACAAUGCAAGAAAGUUCAGAGGUUAUAACUGGGUGAUGGGAGCCUUGACCUGAUCAGCGCAUUGACCACCGAGAGGAAUUAACCGGGUGGUGACUGUAGACAGAUCUGGUGUCUAAGAAAUGCAAAUAAAACCCCUGGCUGCUCAUCAGGCUGAUUGACAAGCCUUAGAAGGUCCAGCCGUCCUUGCCCUAUCAGGCCCAGGCAUCUGCUGUGAUUGGACCCCCAGCUCAAAUCUUCACUCUGAGUCCAAAUGAUGUCACCCACAGGGACAGCUGGUGUGACAAAAAAAGAAGACAGACAUACCACAGGAAUGACUGCUAGUACCCCAUCCAUCAGCUAACUAACCCGAUUUCUUUGCCACGGUGUCUCCCUGUGUGUUUUCAAUUUGCUUAAUAAACUGAGAGCUUGGAAUGAUUUAA